rnacentral:rRNA from 1 species
GAUGAACGCUAGCGGCAGGCCUAAUACAUGCAAGUCGAACGGUAAGUAUGGUAGCAAUAUUAUACGAGAGUGACGUACGGGUGCGUAACACGUAUGCAACCUACCCUUUACAGGCGGAUAGCUCGGGGAAACUCGAAUUAACCCGUCAUAAUAUAAUUGGAUGGCAUCAUUUGAUUAUUAAAACUCCGGUGGUAAAGGAUGGGCAUGCGUCUGAUUAGUUAGUUGGCGGGGUAACGGCCCACCAAGACGAUGAUCAGUAGGGGAACUGAGAGGUUGAUCCCCCACACUGGCACUGAGAUACGGGCCAGACUCCUACGGGAGGCAGCAGUAGGGAAUAUUGGUCAAUGGAUGCAAGUCUGAACCAGCCAUGCCGCGUGCAGGAAGAAAGCCUUCUGGGUUGUAAACUGCUUUUGCCAGGGGAUAAAAUUUCCUUGCGAGGAAAAUUGAAGGUACCUGGUGAAUAAGCCACGGCUAACUACGUGCCAGCAGCCGCGGUAAUACGUAGGUGGCAAGCGUUGUCCGGAUUUAUUGGGUUUAAAGGGUGCGUAGGCGGCUUUGUAAGUCAGUGGUGAAAUAUGUCAGCUUAACUGAGAGGGUGCCAUUGAUACUGCAGAGCUUGAGUACAGAUGAGGUAGGCGGAAUUGACGGUGUAGCGGUGAAAUGCUUAGAUAUCGUCAGGAACACCUAUAGCGAAGGCAGCUUACUAGGCUGUAACUGACGCUGAGGCACGAAAGUGUGGGGAUCAAACAGGAUUAGAUACCCUGGUAGUCCACACUGUAAACGUUGAUUACUCGCUGUGUGCGAUAUACAGUACGCGGCCAAGCGAAAGCGAUAAGUAAUCCACCUGGGGAGUACGCCGGCAACGGUG